UCAACUAGAAGCAUUGCUGUGUCACCUGUGCAUCAGUAGGUGGCAGAGAGGAUAUGUUUAUGCCCAGUGUUCUGCCCUAUGAACAUCUGAAUAACCAGUAGCCUAACACU
rnacentral:snoRNA from 1 species